CUCAGCAAUGUGUGCACUUGGUCCCUUGUUUGUUCCUGGCUGGGUCAGGGAAGGCCUGCCGGGGGUGGUGGCACUGAGAGCCUGGGGGAACAGGCGCCAGGUGGGGUGAGUGAGGCUGUCCAUCGAGGGCUCUUGGGGGGGUGUGGGCUCUGGGCACUGCCCGCUGAGACAGAAAAGGCAGAGGCAGGACAAUACCCAGCCUCCUGGAUGGUACUGAGGUGACUUGAGUUUUGGCAAUUUGGCUUUCCCCAAGCCGCCGGAGCCAUCUCCACAGCCCUGUCCAGGGAAGGGGGCAGGCUGGCCAGGCACUGGUGGGCUGGGGAGCAGCAGCAGCACACCCCACGUGUCCCUGGGUCACUGG
rnacentral:lncRNA from 1 species